rnacentral:rRNA from 1 species
UACAGAGGGGGCAAGCGUUAUUCGGCAUUAUUGGGCGUAAAGGGCGCGUAUGCGGCGAUUCAAGUGACGGGUGAAAUCCCUCGGCUUAACCGAGGAACUGCCUGUCAGACUGGAUUGCUUGAGGCCGGGAGAGGCGAGUGGAAUUCCCAGUGUAGCGGUGAAAUGCGUAGAUAUUGGGAGGAACACCAGUGGCGAAGGCGGCUCGCUGGACCGGUUCUGACGCUGAGGCGCGAAAGCGUGGGGAGCAAACAGG